rnacentral:sRNA from 1 species
CCCAGCAGUGAACUGCUGGGCUAUUUUCGGACGUCCGCUUCGCGGACU